rnacentral:rRNA from 1 species
GACGAACGCUGGCGGCGUGCUUAACACAUGCAAGUCGAACGGUGAGGCACCAGCUUGGUGGGGUGGUUGAGUGGCGAACGGGUGAGUAAUACGUGAGUAACCUGCCCUUGACUCUGGGAUAAGCCCGGGAAACUGGGGCUAAUACUGGAUGCUAGAUGUCGCCGCAUGGUGGGGUGUGGAAAGGUUUUACUGGUGUUGGAUGGGCUCACGGCCUAUCAGCUUGGUGGGGGGGUCAUGGCUACCCAAGGCGACGACGGGUAGCCGGCCUGGGAGGGUGACCGGGCACACUUGGACUGAGACACGGCCCAGACCCCCACGGGGGGCAGCAGGUGGGAAUAUUGCCACAGUGGCGAAAGCCCUAUUCAGGCACCCCGCGGGACGGAUUAACGCCUUUCGGUUGGAAACCUCUUUCAGCAGGUAACAAGCCACAAGUGACGGUACCUGCAGAAGAAGCGCCGGCUAACUACGUG